UACGGAGGGUGCAAGCGUUAAUCGGAAUUACUGGGCGUAAAGGGCUCGUAGGUGGUUAGGAAAGUCGGAUGUGAAAUCCCUGGGCUCAACCUAGGACUUGCAUUCGAAACUCUCUAGCUAGAGUAUGGUAGAGGAAAGUGGAAUUUCCGGUGUAGCGGUGAAAUGCGUAGAUAUCGGAAGGAACACCAGCGGCGAAGGCGGCUUUCUGGACCAAUACUGACACUGAGGAGCGAAAGCGUGGGUAGCGAACAGG
rnacentral:rRNA from 1 species